rnacentral:rRNA from 1 species
UCAGGACGAACGCUGGCGGCGUGCUUAACACAUGCAAGUCGAACGGGGAUAUUGAACGGAAGGCUUCGGCCGGAAGAUUGGAUAUUCUAGUGGCGGACGGGUGAGUAACGCGUGAGCAAUCUGUCCCGGACAGGGGAAUAACACUUGGAAACAGGUGCUAAUACCGCAUGAGACCACGGAGCCGCAUGGCUUUGGGGUAAAAGGAGGAAUCCGGUUCGGGGUGAGCUCGCGUCCGAUUAGCCAGUUGGCGGGUAACGGCCCACCAAAGCGACGAUCGGUAGCCGACCUGAGAGGGUGAUCGGCCACAUUGGAACUGAGAGACGGUCCAAACUCCUACGGGAGGCAGCAGUGGGGAAUAUUGGGCAAUGGGCGAAAAAGCCUGACCCAGCAACGCCGCGUGAGUGAAGAAGGCCUUCGGGUUGUAAAGCUCUGUUAUAGGGGACGAAGGGAGUGACGGUACCCUAUAAGGAAGCCCCGGCUAACUACGUGCCAGCCGCCGC